rnacentral:rRNA from 1 species
GGGAAUAUUGCACAAUGGGCGGAAGCCUGAUGCAGCAACGCCGCGUGAGGGAUGACGGCUUUCGGGUUGUAAACCUCUUUUAGCAGGGAAGAAGCGAGAGUGACGGUACCUGCAGAAAAAGCGCCGGCUAACUACGUGCCAGCAGCCGCGGUAAUACGUAGGGCGCAAGCGUUAUCCGGAAUUAUUGGGCGUAAAGAGCUCGUAGGCGGUUUGUCGCGUCUGCUGUGAAAUCCCGAGGCUCAACCUCGGGCCUGCAGUGGGUACGGGCAGACUAGAGUGCGGUAGGGGAGAUUGGAAUUCCUGGUGUAGCGGUGGAAUGCGCAGAUAUCAGGAGGAACACCGAUGGCGAAGGCAGAUCUCUGGGCCGUAACUGACGCUGAGGAGCGAAAGGGUGGGGAGCAAACAGGCUUAGAUACCCUGGUAGUCCACCCCGUAAACGUUGGGAACUAGUUGUGGGGUCCAUUCCACGGAUUCCGUGACGCAGCUAACGCAUUAAGUUCCCCGCCUGGGGAGUACGGCCGCAAGGCUAAAACUCAAAGGAAUUGACGGGGACCCGCACAAGCGGCGGAGCAUGCGGAUUAAUUCGAUGCAACGCGAAGAACCUUACCAAGGCUUGACAUAUACGAGAACGGGCCAGAAAUGGUCAACUCUUUGGACACUCGUAAACAGGUGGUGCAUGGUUGUCGUCAGCUCGUGUCGUGAGAUGUUGGGUUAAGUCCCGCAACGAGCGCAACCCUCGUUCUAUGUUGCCAGCACGUAAUGGUGGGAACUCAUGGGAUACUGCCGGGGUCAACUCGGAGGAAGGUGGGGAUGACGUCAAAUCAUCAUGCCCCUUAUGUCUUGGGCUUCACGCAUGCUACAAUGGCCGGUACAAAGGGCUGCAAUACCGUGAGGUGGAGCGAAUCCCAAAAAGCCGGUCCCAGUUCGGAUUGAGGUCUGCAACUCGACCUCAUGAAGUCGGAGUCGCUAGUAAUCGCAGAUCAGCAACGCUGCGGUGAAUACGUUCCCGGGUCUUGUACACACCGCCCGUCAAGUCCUGAAAGUCGGUAACACCUGAAGCCUG